rnacentral:tRNA from 1 species
GCCACGGUGGUCUAGCGGUUAGAACGCUGGCCUUGUAAUCCUGGGGACUCUGGUUCGAUUCCCGGCGGUGCCC